AGAGUUUGAUCCUGGCUCAGGAUGAACGCUAGCGGCAGGCUUAACACAUGCAAGUCGAGGGGUAACAGGAGUGCUUGCACUCGCUGACGACCGGCGCACGGGUGCGUAACGCGUAUAGAACCUACCUUUUACUGAGGGAUAGCCUUUAGAAAUGAAGAUUAAUACCUCAUGGUAUUGUAAACUGGCAUCGGUUUAUAAUUAAAGAUUUAUUGGUAAAAGAUGGCUAUGCGUCUUAUUAGCUAGAUGGUAAGGUAACGGCUUACCAUGGCAACGAUAAGUAGGGGCCCUGAGAGGGGGAUCCCCCACACUGGUACUGAGACACGGACCAGACUCCUACGGGAGGCAGCAGUGAGGAAUAUUGGGCAAUGGAGGCAACUCUGACCCAGCCAUGCCGCGUGCAGGAAGACUGCCCUAUGGGUUGUAAACUGCUUUUAUACAGGAAGAAACUGCGCUACGUGUAGCGUACUGACGGUACUGUAAGAAUAAGGAUCGGCUAACUCCGUGCCAGCAGCCGCGGUAAUACGGAGGAUCCAAGCGUUAUCCGGAAUCAUUGGGUUUAAAGGGUCCGUAGGCGGUUUUUUAAGUCAGAGGUGAAAUCCUGCAGCUCAACUGUAGCAUUGCCUUUGAUACUGAAAGACUUGAGUUAUUGUGAAGUAAUUAGAAUGUGUAGUGUAGCGGUGAAAUGCAUAGAUAUUACACAGAAUACCGAUUGCGAAGGCAGAUUACUAACAAUAUACUGACGCUGAGGGACGAAAGCGUGGGUAGCGAACAGGAUUAGAUACCCUGGUAGUCCACGCC
rnacentral:rRNA from 1 species